rnacentral:lncRNA from 1 species
GUGAUCCAACCCCUUCAGCUUCCCAAAGUGCUGGGAUUACAGGCAUGAGCCAAUAUACUCGGCCUGAGAAUUCAUAUUUCUAACAAAGUACAAAUCCAUAGGGCGCACAUGACAACUGCAAUAUCUAUCUACAGUAGAUACAGUUUGAUGAAUAAAAUGAAAGGCAAUUGACCUAAGGUG